UCAAUUGUGCUAAUCUCUAUCUCUACUCCUAUAAAAAUCUGAGUUGGUGAUGAUGGUGUGCCUGCCAUCUAUCGUUUUCGACCGUCUGAUCUGCAUCCAACGCAUAGGAGCCAACCCCACUUCACAUUUGCAAAGAAACCCCUCAGUCCCUUUGUCCAACUACAUCCAGUCCCACCUUAUCCAAUCAGCCAAGGUCGAUCUUUCUAGAAAAAAAUGGAAGCAUCCGAAGGCACUGGCAGUGGCCGCUGCCGCCGGUGCUGUCCGUCCCUCCUCUUUGCCGUAGGAACCUCACCGGCCACCGCCACACGCACCUCCCCCUCCUCCCCGUCGUCUCCUCCUCCCCCUACCUUGUCUCCUACGACGCCGACAUCGGCAAGUACACCGCUGGUGAUGUCCUUCCGCCGAUCCUGUGACGCCUCUCAUGCCUACUCCUCCGAUGCAGCAGACCCGCCGCCCACCACCUGUCCCUCCUCACCACCUUCUCCUCCUCCCCUACCCCUUCUCCUCCGAUGAUCGGCAAGUACGCCGCCGGCGACAUCUGCCCCUUGAAUACCCUGUCUCGCUGCCGCCAACCUCCCCCAAUCCCUCUUCCCCUGACAUGGGUGUUCCCAAUCUUAGCUCAAAAUUCAGAUCAUCAUGUACACCACCCCAAUUCUCCCAGCUUCUUCAUCCCUCUCCCUUCCUAUGUCUUUCUUUCUGUCCAUCACGCUCUGUGUCUGAUGCCCUGCUCGCUCGCUGUCACCCGUGCCGCGUGGUGGCCACUACUGCUGCCAGUACUCCUAGCUCACCGUCAAUGAAUCGCGGAAGCCACAACCUCUUCAAGCGUGCUCGUUCGCCGUACUUGCGACUGUCUGGAGGCCGCACACCCUGCAGGCACGCCCACUGCCCAUCUGCCAUCACCAGACCGCAUGGAGGUCACACCCCAUGUGGGCGCGCUCGCUCCAGAGCUGCACCGGAUCCUCAGGAGCGCAAUGCCGCCAUGUCGACGAACAUGUGGACGGAUCAGCAACGAUCUUAGUAAAACACUCAUGGAUCAGGAGCAAGUUUUAGUAGUAUGGCAUGAUGUUGGAGCCUUUUGUCUAAACCUUUUGAACUAAGGAUGGUAGAUGGCACUUUCAGACAUUCCUGCUCGAAUGUUUUGUGCUUGCAUUCUUCCUCUGUAGUACUGAAAGAUCCAAUCUAAGACAAAGAAGCAAGAAAUGCACUUAGGAGAAAGAAGACUUGAGCCGUGACUCCUGCCAGCAAGAAUGCAUAGAUGGCAAGGAGUGUCUAUUUUGGUUCUUGAUUAUUGUAAUAUGGCUCAUUAAGCUGCUACAUAUCUGUUGAAUUGGGUGUCAUUUUGGAACAAAUAUUUGUCGCUGUAAUGUACAAUGCAUGGUCGAAAACUAAUUACUGGUAUUGUUUUGUUUAAA